rnacentral:rRNA from 1 species
GAUGAACGCUAGCUACAGGCUUAACACAUGCAAGUCGAGGGGCAGCACAGUGUAGCAAUACAUGGGUGGCGACCGGCGCACGGGUGCGUAACGCGUAUCCAACCUUCCCGUUACUCUUGGAUAGCCUUCCGAAAGGGAGAUUAAUACAAGAUGGUAUUCAAAUUCCGCAUGUUAUUUGAAUUAAAGAUUUAUCGGUAUCGGAUGGGGAUGCGUGACAUUAGAUAGUAGGCGGGGUAACGGCCCACCUAGUCUACGAUGUCUAGGGGUUCUGAGAGGAAGGUCCCCCCACACUGGAACUGAGACACGGUCCAGACUCCUACGGGAGGCAGCAGUGAGGAAUAUUGGUCAAUGGUCGGAAGACUGAACCAGCCAAGUAGCGUGAAGGAUGAAGGUUCUAUGGAUUGUAAACUUCUUUUAUACGGGAAUAAAACCUCCCACGUGUGGGAGCUUGUAUGUACCGUAUGAAUAAGCAUCGGCUAAACUCCGUG